rnacentral:rRNA from 1 species
CCCUUAGAUGUUCUGGGCCGCACGCGUGCUACACUGAGUGGAUCAGCGGGUCAGGUUGCGCGAAAGCGUUUCCUAAUCUUUAAAUCCGCUCGUGAUGGGGAUUGACGGUUGCAAUUUUCUGUCAUGAACGAGGAAUACCUUGUAAGCGCGGGUCAUCAUCCCGCGCUGAAUACGUCCCUGCCCUUUGUACACACCGCCCGUCGCUCCUACCGAUUGAAUGGUCCGGUGAAGCCUCGGGAUUGUGGCGAGUUUCCUUUAUUGGGAGUUUGUCGCGAGAACUUGUCUAAACCUUAUCAUUUAGAGGAAGGUGAAGUCGUAACA